UGCCCCAUGGCUAAGUUGGUCAAAGCGUCCGACUGUUAGCAUUUGCGCGAUCGGAAGGUCGUGAGUUCGAGCCUCACUGGGGCAG